rnacentral:rRNA from 1 species
GUAGGUGGGCAAGCGUUGUCCGGAAUUAUUGGGGCGUAAAGCGCGCGCAGGGUGGUUCUUUAAGUCUGAUGUGAAAGCCCCCGGGCUCAACCGGGGAGGGUCAUUGGAAACUGGGGAACUUGAGUGCAGGAGAGGAAAGUGGAAUUCCACGUGUAGCGGUGAAAUGCGUAGAUAUGUGGAGGAACACCAGUGGCGAAGGCGACUUUCUGGCCGUAACUGACACUGAGGCGCGAAAGCGUGGGGAGCAAACAGGAUUAGAUACCCUGGUAGUCCACGCCGUAAACGAUGAGUGCUAAGUGUUGGGGGGUUUCCGCCCCUCAGUGCUGCAGCUAACGCAUUAAGCACUCCGCCUGGGGAGUACGGUCGCAAGACUG